ensembl:lncRNA
CUCAGAGUAGUGUACUCAACACUGCAAGAAGAUGCACAAAACUAGGGAUUAUUGCUGGCCAGUCCUUCUCUGGUGGCUCUCUAGCCCAGCACUAAGGAUUGCUUUUGGACUGAAUGCAACACGAACGAAUCAGCGCCAGCCCCCUUGUCAGCCAGGCCACUACUGUCCAGAAGGCAGCGAAAUUGCAGUUCCAUGUCCCAGAGGCACGUUUGCACCAAGUUUUUGGGCCAGGGACAUCAAUGGUUGUAUUAGCUGCCCUCCACAUCACUAUGCUCCCACAGAGGGUCUGUCUGCCUGUCUGCCCUGUGGAUCCAGAGCUCGGCAGCCUCUACCCAGGCAGGAUAAAUGUAUAUGCCUAACAGAGGGCCAAGUCUUCCAAGCCAGCGAUGGGCAGUGCCAUUGUGCUUUGGGGUACCGCUCUACACAAAGUGGGGAUGCCUGUGAGUUAAAGAUAUAUGAGAUCUGCAAAGAUGGACAAGCACGGGACCAGUAUGGCAAAUGUUUGGAUCGCAGGCAGUGGAAACACCUUUGUUCUAAUGAGGUGUGUGCGUCUCCACAGCUGUAUGAGGGUUAUGAUGCCUCCCUGGGUCUGUGUGUCUGCAAAAGUCUGACUGAUCCAGGAAGAAGUGAGUGCUCAGGAUGGUGUGGAGACAGGAUGAGACCUGUGUUGCAGCUGGUGUGCAGUUCUGCUGUCCUUCAGCUGCUUUACACUGAGGCAAAUAGACAGGGACACAGGUUAGUGCAUCAGGAAGUGCGCUUUUAUCUAUCCUCAAACAUUGGGAGUCCCGAGGAAGGCUGAGGUGUGAGCGGCAUCAUGGGUUCUCCAGGCCUGUGUACACAAUACAGACAAGGGAAAGUGGCUUCUAUGGGUUUCUCCGCACUAUCCCAGUAGGAGUACGGAUUUUGAUCUUGGAAGGUGGUCAAGUGAGCGAUAGUUUUGCUGAGAUCAUGAACAGAAACAGCAUAGGAAACCAUACCUACAUGGAUACAGAAUUCUAUUGGUCCAUGGGUUCUGCUUCAAGAGGAGCCAGCAAUAGUGAAGCCACUCAAGUGAUGAACCCGAUCGCAUGCUUGCAUCUGGAUGAUAUCCUUUUAUUCACUGUGACCAGACACCAUUAUCCGCAGUAUGAUGUGUGAGUAAGAAAACUUUGUCUGCCCCAUUUAGAUGACUGACUUAACCUGAGGGUUUGUCUUGUUGUUUACAGUGAGAACUUAUUCAACACAAAUGCUGCUUUUGACUGGGGAGUCUUUAGAGUAUUGGAACAAGAGCUAGCAAUGGCACAAUCUGCAAACUCCCUCUUUUCCGUUAGCUUUAGUGAGCCUGGUGUGUAUGUCAUCAAACUGAGCAGCAAUCAACACAAGCAUGUGUAUGUAAAGGUUUUGCCUGCUGGAGGAGAUUGCUAUGACAUCGGACCGUUCUUUCCUACUGAUCCACAUCACAUGAUUCGGAUGGGCAUAACCCUCCAACGCCAGCUCCUGCUGCGACCCGACUGGUGGGUGAUUGGAGGUCUCUUAGCUGGAGCUACAGUUGUGCUCUGCUUGUGUCUUGCAGUACUGAUCUUGUUCAGAGAGCACGGCUGGCCAGAGAAGCUGCCUUCUCAGGCCAGGUACCGGGAACUACAGCUCAAGUACAACAUGGAUGACUAUUCAUCAAAAGGUUCCAGGGUCAUAGCACUGAAAAAGAUGCACAGAAACUUAACGGUCGGGAUGAACGAGGAUCCAGUGCUGAGAGCUAUGGCUGUAACAUCAGACGAGUUCUGGGACUAUGAGAAUCAGGUGAACCUGGAGGCUUUCAGUUCCAGCACAUUCUAUGACAUCUUGCUUAAGCACAGUGUAUCUGUCACCACCCGGCUUGGGCAGUUCAAAGAAGAGGUGAAGCAGCUCUAUCAAGGGGUGCUGGAAAAGGUGCAGGGACUUCAACCUGGCCCAGGGGCUGUGGUGGUAGGGGGAAAGCUGGAGUGUUUGGAGAAACAAGUGGAGCAAGAGAUAGCACGCAGGAAAGUUCUGGGCACUCAGAUUUCCCAGCUGCUGGACAGCCAGCUUCAGAUCCUCCGGAAUGAGUCCCAGUCCCAGCAUGCCAUGCACAAGGCUUACUCAGCACUCCUCAGAGAAUGCUUUCGGUUGCUGAUGCUGGUUUCUGACAACCAGACCUCUCUCUGGAGCAAAUAUAUCCAGCAAUGUGUUAUGGAUAGAUUGCAUGUGCUGGCUGAGGAGAUGGCAGAGCUGGUCUCAAUGGAGGCGCAGAGGCAGGGUUGCUGGGGCAUGCUCAAACAGGGGACUGGAGCACGGCUACUAUGCCCCACUUCUGGAUCGGUCCUCACUAGGGAUGACAUUAUUGCACCUGAUGGGUCUGUCCAGGCAUGCGAUACAGUCCAUGUGGACUCCUGCACAGGCCUCAUCCAUCCAAUCCCGAAUGCCCACAUGCUCCUAGCUAGUGGCCACAGCAUGCCCGUGGCCUCUGACUUCUUUGUGCAUCCUCAGACUGGCCGGCUGCUCCCAGUGGCAGGGAAUGUAGGAUUUGACUCCUCCAGCUCCACCCUUGUAUGCACAGCCGAUGCUUGUGUGGGUGAGGUUGGAAAAUGGGAGUCUCCUGUGCUUCCCUUCAUUCCCUACCCUUCAUCUCGCCACUCUGAGCUGCUAGGGCCAUCCAAGUUGAGAAGCCUCCAAACAGGCCAGAAGCUUGUAUUUGGAGGACCCAUGUGUGACUUUGAAACUGGCGUACUUGUCCCGAUCCUGGCAGUCACCAUCCACCCCCAGACGGGGAUGGUGUACCCGGUAGGUGGUGCUCAUGUGUGCCCUGUGACGCGACUCCGGCAGCCCAUUCAGAUUGGUUGUCCAAUGCUGGAUCCUCGCACGGGCAAUGUGGUACUCAUAACAGGUGUUAGUCUGGACUCGCAUACAGGUGCAGUGCUUCCAGUAGGAGGUCUCCUGCUGGGCGAAACCUUCAUCGAGCCCCUGAGUGGCAGGCUGGUGCGUGUAGGUGGCGGCAGCCUCCGGGGAGGAAAAGUGGUGCCACAUGCAGGGGGUUUCCAGGCUCUACUGGACAGCCAAGCUCUUGGUGCGCGGGUGGGGGUGGUGGAGCUGAUACGGGCCUACUGUGACGGGUGGAAAUCUGGGAGUCUGGACCUCAACAAUGAGAUUAGCAGAGUGAAGACAGCUGCCUCAGAUUUGGAGCAAGCCUGGAGGAACAGUCAGGACUGCACGCUUCAGCUGCUAAGUUGUCUGGAGGCUCAGCAGGAGUGGGCCUGGCGGGUGGCUGAAGAUGGGGGCAGUCUAGGUGAGAUCAGUCUGCCUGGCAUUGAGCUGUCCCUGCCCGCUCUGCCAGGACUGGAAUAUCCGGACCCUGGAGGUUCUGGCUUAUCAGUCCCUGUUCUUGGUGUGCAGCUGGAUUGGAUGUCAGGGUGUAUGGUGCCUCUUGCUGGAACAAUGGAAGAUGCAGAUGGCAAGGGGCUGGUUCCGAUCCGCUUUGGGGCACAGACUAUAGACCCUGUGACAGGGGUGGUGGCUCCGGUGGUAGGAGCUCGGCUAGACUUCUGGAAGAGGACUGUAGUCCCAGUGACCGUCUCUCAGUGCCUGACCAUAAGAGAAGCUCCAGACAUUGUGCUGGCGGAGGCCUUACAGAAGGAGUGCAGCAUGAGGGCCCAGUUCUGGAGACAGCAGAGAGUAAAGGAAGAAGAACUAGUGGCGGAUUUAGACAGAGCUCUGAGGGACUGCCUUUACACAGCAUUACAGGAAGAGCCAGAUCAUCUUGUGUGGACAGACACAGAUAAGCAAAUAAGGGAGACAGCAGCAGAACUUCAGGAGGAAGACUAUAAAGAGGCUCAAAGAAGAAAUGCUGUGAACUCGGAGCUGUCUCUCCUGCUGCCUGGACACAUCCUACUCACUCUUACUGGAGGUGAUGAAGAAGAGUGGAAGCAGCAGCGUCACUGGCAUGCUGAACUGACUGCAGUGUUGAAUAGAGUGAGUGUGUUUAUGGCAAGGCAGCAGUGGGAGCAAGGUCGGUCCACACCUCUGGGUGAUGAGCAAGCGGAUGAAAAGACAUGGCAGAAGGAGCUGUGGGAGCAAUUAAAUCAGAGAUACACCGAGCUGGACGUUGCUCUUUCUUCACUACACUGCACCUGCAAGAUCAGCCAGCUCCGUGCUGCUACUGCAGAGACCUGCCAGUGAAGCAAGCGUUUGACAGGGACACAGGCUCUAGAGCAUGGACUGUGUCGGUCCCUGUAGCUAAAGAUGCCAAUCAGUCUUGCUGUGCAGCAGUUUCCACUCAACCCCUGAAAGAUCAUGAAAAGGCUUCAUCUGUGAGCGAGCUAAAUGGCUUGAAGGGUGUAUUGUCCAGUACAUCUCCUUCACACAGAGAACAGGAUGUAAGCCCUGCUCAAAGCCAGGAUCUCAAGGAGACGACAUUUCCCGUGCACAUGACAGUCCCCAAACUGUCAGGUGAGGACUGGGCCAGUUUGCUGGAGCUCUCGCCACUCUUCCGGCUUAUCCAAGAUGUGGAACAGCGGCUCAGAGACCAAGCAAAGAACGCCGGCCUGCUUAGCGGCUCAGGGUGCACCUUUAUCGAUUUCUUGGAUGCGCAGUGGGAUUGUGAGGGAGAGCUCGUCAAAGUCGGUGCUGACACUCUCAAUCCCCGCGAGUUUCUCAUCUACCAGCACGGCCAGCUUCUUCUCAAACUGCUACACACACACAGAGUGGUUUGAAUCUCCCUAUUUCUGGCUUUUACACACACACACACACACACACACACACACACACACACACACACACACACACACACACACCUUCAUUUUGAUUUAUUGUGAGUAAUAUUUUACACCCACUGAACAAUGACAUAAUGGAAUGUUUGAUGUAUUGGAAAGUAACUCCGAUUAGUUAUGCUUGGGUUUGUACUUUCCAGGCACCAGCAGUGAAAUUACACCUCGCCUCAAGACUUCCUACAAAUAACUACUGCUGCAAUUCCUUCCGUAAUUCCUUUUAUUACCAGGAGACGGAUAACAUUCUGUACGUGCGACAGCAGAGACUGCAGUCUGUAGGAGGUUUCUCUCUGCUGCUUAUACACUGUGCUGCUCACAUAUCCACUGGACAACUUACUGUUGACACAACUGUUGCCUUCCAAAGGGCUUUCUUUAAGGUCCUGCAAGUGUGUCUAAGUGAGUUGUUCCAUGCCAGAUUAGAGCCUGAUUCAGCUGAAGGAAAGAAGCAAAGCACUGACUCAACCCUUAAUAGCCUUGUGUCCGAGAGAGUGCAGAAAUGCGACCCAGGGACUUUGUCUGAGAACCUGAAUGAGGUGGCCAGGCUGCUAGAGAAGCACAAAGAAAGUUCAGUGUUCAGGAAAGUAGAAAGCCUGCUGAGAGAUAAGAACCUGGAGGUCAGCCCAAGUGACAGUGAGCCGCCAAUUAAACAUGGAGCAGAAGGCCAGGACGUUGCGCCAGAGUGAAGUGAUGAAUCGGUCUUGAAAUACGAGCACUGCUGCCUUUCACUGAAUAUGACAAGACCAACUAUCUCAUCCAAACUACUGUAAGCUGCUCCGUGGGAGACAGAUGGCAGCGUAGACGAUGGCUUUGCUUUGGAUUGAGGACGUUCGAGUAACUACAAAAAGAAGCACAUGGAACACACAUUAAACAACAUUAAGCAAAAAGGAAAAAUCCAAAUGAUGACAAACAAUAAUAAGGACAUGAAUGUAAUGCAAAUCAGUGUACAUUAUAACGUUAAGAUAAUUAUUCUGAGGUGGAUGGAAAACUACUAAAAUGCAAGAUCGUGUAGUCAGUUAUUAAACUAAGUAACAGUGAUUGGUAUACGUUUAAAAACGCUUGAAUAUCAAAUGUGCAAAUUAUGAAAGCUUUCAAUAUUUCAUAAUGCAAGGUCCUAUUUCAAAUGAGGUCAUUACAGGGAAAAAAAAAAAUAUAUAUAUAUAUAUAUAUAUAUAUAUAUAUAUAUAUAUAUAUAUAUAUAUAUAUAUAUAUAUAUAUAAGCAUUUUGACAGUUUUUUCUUUGAUAAUGUUUGCACACUUGGGACUGAACAGAGUUAUCCAGCUCUGUGGAUAAGUUUUCUAAGGGCAGAGCUGGGAUGCUUCAUUUAUUAUUUUUUCAAUAAACAUCUCUACAUAUUUAUUGUUGAAA